CGAACGAACGGAGGAAGAGCUUGCUCUUCCAAAGUUAGUGGCGGACGGGUGAGUAACACGUGGGCAACCUGCCUGUAAGUUGGGGAUAACUCCGGGAAACCGGGGCUAAUACCGAAUGAUAAAGUGUGGCGCAUGCCACGCUUUUGAAAGAUGGUUUCGGCUAUCGCUUACAGAUGGGCCCGCGGUGCAUUAGCUAGUUGGUAGGGUAAUGGCCUACCAAGGCAACGAUGCAUAGCCGACCUGAGAGGGUGAUCGGCCACACUGGGACUGAGACACGGCCCAGACUCCUACGGGAGGCAGCAGUAGGGAAUCUUCCGCAAUGGACGAAAGUCUGACGGAGCAACGCCGCGUGUAUGAAGAAGGUUUUCGGAUCGUAAAGUACUGUUGUUAGAGAAGAACAAGGAUAAGAGUAACUGCUUGUCCCUUGACGGUAUCUAACCAGAAAGCCACGGCUAACUACGUGCCAGCAGCCGCGGUAAUACGUAGGUGGCAAGCGUUGUCCGGAUUUAUUGGGCGUAAAGCGCGCGCAGGCGGUCUUUUAAGUCUGAUGUGAAAGCCCCCGGCUUAACCGGGGAGGGUCAUUGGAAACUGGAAGACUGGAGUGCAGAAGAGGAGAGUGGAAUUCCACGUGUAGCGGUGAAAUGCGUAGAUAUGUGGAGGAACACCAGUGGCGAAGGCGACUCUCUGGUCUGUAACUGACGCUGAGGCGCGAAAGCGUGGGGAGCAAACAG
rnacentral:rRNA from 1 species